CCAUGAAGCUCACCGACUUCCAGCACGACAGCAGCGCAGCCCGACAGGCGUCGGGCAUGACAUCGCGUGCGCGUCGACCGGAACCCCACAUCCUCGCUGGGUAACCGGAGCUUUUUGCUGUUCG
rnacentral:sRNA from 1 species